AAUAAGUGCGGCCAUAAGUUUCCACGCUCAACUUUGAUCGUCCGUUCUACUUGAUUUUUUUUAUAAUUAGUAUUUUUAUUGUUAUGAAAUGAUAAAACGUGAAUAGUACUUUGCUCGUGACUUAUGUUUUUAAUUUUUUUUAAAAAAAUUAAAUAAGAUGAACAAUCAAAGUUGGACAUGGAAAAUCAUGGCUGCACUUAUU
rfam:Oryza nivara chromosome 10, whole genome shotgun sequence.